UACGACUCACUAUAGGGCGAAUUGGGCCCGACGUCGCAUGCUCCCGGCCGCCAUGGCGGCCGCGGGAAUUCGAUUAGAGUUUGAUCCUGGCUCAGGAUUAACGCUAGCGGCAGGCCUAAUACAUGCAAGUCGAACGGUAACAGGUCCAGCAAUGGAUGCUGACGAGUGGCGCACGGGUGCGUAACACGUAUGCAACCUACCUUUGACUGGGAGAUAGCCCCGAGAAAUCGGGAUUAAUACCCCAUAAAAUUAUGAUGAGGCAUCUCAUUAUAAUUAAAGCUCCGGCGGUCUUAGAUGGGCAUGCGCGACAUUAGCUAGUUGGUGAGGUAACGGCUCACCAAGGCUACGAUGUCUAGGGGUUCUGAGAGGAUUCACCCCCACACUGGUACUGAGACACGGACCAGACUCCUACGGGAGGCAGCAGUAAGGAAUAUUGGUCAAUGGACGCAAGUCUGAACCAGCCAUGCCGCGUGCAGGAUGACAGCCCUAUGGGUUGUAAACUGCUUUUGUACGGGAAAAAACCUCCGGUCGUGAACCGGAGCUGAUGGUACCGUAAGAAUAAGCAUCGGYAU
rnacentral:rRNA from 1 species